UGGGGAAUAUUGGACAAUGGGCGAAAGCCUGAUCCAGCCAUGCCGCGUGUGUGAAGAAGGUCUUCGGAUUGUAAAGCACUUUAAGUUGGGAGGAAGGGCAGUAAGCGAAUACCUUGCUGUUUUGACGUUACCGACAGAAUAAGCACCGGCUAACUCUGUGCCAGCAGCCGCGGUAAUACAGAGGGUGCAAGCGUUAAUCGGAAUUACUGGGCGUAAAGCGCGCGUAGGUGGUUCGUUAAGUUGAAUGUGAAAGCCCCGGGCUCAACCUGGGAACUGCAUCCAAAACUGGCGAGCUAGAGUAGGGCAGAGGGUGGUGGAAUUUCCUGUGUAGCGGUGAAAUGCGUAGAUAUGGGAAGGAACACCAGUGGCGAAGGCGACCACCUGGGAUCAUACUGAAACUGAGGUGCGAAAGCGUGGGGAGCAAACAGG
rnacentral:rRNA from 1 species